rnacentral:rRNA from 1 species
CGAACGGAGAAUUGCUAGCUUGCUAAUAAUUCUCUAGUGGCGCACGGGUGAGUAACACGUGAGUACCUGCCCCCAAGAGUGGGAUAGCCCCGGGAAACUGGGAUUAAUACCGCAUAAAGCAAUAAAGCAGCAAUGCGCUUGGGGAUGGGCUCGCGUCCUAUUAGUUAGUUGGUGAGGUAACGGCUCACCAAGGCGAUGACGGGUAGCCGGUCUGAGAGGAUGUCCGGCCACACUGGAACUGAGACACGGUCCAGACACCUACGGGUGGCAGCAGUCGAGAAUCAUUCACAAUGGGGGAAACCCUGAUGGUGCGACGCCGCGUGGGGGAUAAGGUCUUCGGAUUGUAAACCCCUGUCAUGUGGGACAUUAAAAAGAUAGUACCACAAGAGGAAGAGACGGCUAACUCUGUGCCAGCAGCCGCGGUAAUACAGAGGUCUCAAGCGUUGUUCGGAAUCACUGGGCGUAAAGCGUGCGUAGGCGGUUUCGUAAGUCGUGUGUGAAAGGCGGGGGCUCAACCCCCGGACUGCACAUGAUACUGCGAGACUAGAGUAAUGGAGGGGGAACCGGAAUUCUCGGUGUAGCAGUGAAAUGCGUAGAUAUCGAGAGGAACACUCGUGGCGAAGGCGGGUUCCUGGACAUUAACUGACGC